UACGGGGGGGGCAAGCGUUGUUCGGAAUUACUGGGCGUAAAGGGCUCGUAGGUGGCCAACUAAGUCAGACGUGAAAUCCCUCGGCUUAACCGGGGAACUGCGUCUGAUACUGGAUGGCUUGAGUGUGGGAGAGGGAUGCGGAAUUCCAGGUGUAGCGGUGAAAUGCAUAGAUAUCUGGAGGAACACCGGUGGCGAAGGCGGCAUCCUGGACCAUUACUGACACUGAAUAGCGAAAGCCAGGGGAGCAAACGGG
rnacentral:rRNA from 1 species